ensembl:lncRNA
GGGGAGUGGAGGGUGAAUGGAAAUCAGAGAGAGAAGGAGCGAUUGAAGGGUGGAGGGGAGGAAUGAUAACUACAGAGGAGGCGAGGGGGGAAGAGGAGGAGGAGAAGAAGAGGAGAGCAGGAUUAUGGAGGUUAUGGUAGUAGGUGCCAAGGGCACCAGGUUUGUGUCAAGAACUGCAACGUCGCAACAGUUUCCUGUGUGUAUCAAGAAUGGUCCACCAACCAAAGGACAUCCAGUCAACUUGACACAACUGUAAGAAGCAUUGGAGUCAUUAAUGGUUCUAAGUUGUGUAUCCCCACAAGGGCCAGUGCGUGGAGACGAUGCAGGAUGCCCUAGUGCCCUUAUGAGUAGAGUGGUUGGGUCGUGACGUCUUAAUCUCGUCCCUAAUGCAGGCGGGAAAUGUGGCGGGAGAGUUUGGUGUUACGGCUUUCCGACUUUAAUGACUUGCAGUUGGAGGAGCCCUCUGGAGCAUCGCCACUUUAAGUCAUGAGGAUGGGGGGGAUUUAUCUGACUGUGACUGUCACAUGGGAGCACAUGGGAGCACCAUGCUGGGCCUUACUGUAUGAGUAGAGAGUAGAGUAGGACCGGAGUUAGAAAUUAAAAGAUUUUCUAGAUUAGAAACUGUAUUGUCCAUUAAAGGUAAAAAUAUAAUUACUCAUUAACAAAAUAGUGUGUAGCCCACAUAGCAUUACAGUAAAAUUACACACCAAAAGAGUCAGCGGUAAAGGAACAUACGACAAAUCAGGGUAGUGUUCAACAGUAGUAUUUCAGACAGCCAGAUGAUGCCAUAUUGUCCCUGCCUGCUCUUUGACUAUGCAGUGCAUUCCAGGUGAAAGUUUUCCAUAAACACAGACCUAGGGUCAGUUUACUCUCCCCAGAUCCUAGUCUGAACCAUCUGGAGUAAACAAAGCAAUACUGACCACAGAUCAUGACAUCAUCGUCCCUCUCACAUCAGCCCCUUGGGAGGCACACACACACACACACACUUAAGGUAAAAUCUCCCUCCGUUUUAUUCUGUUACCAAAUGUUGUAUCUGCACCGCUCUUCCUGUAAAUGUAAUUUUGUCAAAUGUUCUGUGGAAAUUGUUAAAAGAGUUGUAUGUUUUGUGAAACUUUGAAAUCAGUGUUUUUUAUUUGGUGUACAUUUAAAGUGAAACAUUUUAGUCCUAGCGUAAUUCUGUCACCAUGGAAUUGCCCAUAUGCUACUGCCCAGUCACAGAAAAACUAGAUUAAAACACUGGCUCUAUGAAAAUCAGCUGUAUGUGAGUGUGCGUCUGUUUUCUUUAUGUGUGUGUGUGUGUCUACAGUUCCCUCCCAGCUUUUAAGACUAACAUUGAAAAAGCAGAUUUUUAAAGGUCACAAUACAGCAGGCUCUCUACACGCUUCUCUCUCCAGCUGGUCCUUUGUGUGUCUGUGUGUGUGUACAGAUUGGUAUAAAUAAGCUC